rnacentral:piRNA from 1 species
UGUUAGGGAUAUAUGCAUUUUUG